UCACUGUCCCUGCCAGUGCGGGAUCCCAGCGGAAACCAGAGCUGGGAGGGCUCUUCCUGCCUGGGGGAGGCUUCCCAGGAGUGUGAGGGAUUUACAGUCACCACCUCUCGCUCCCCAUCCCCUGCAGAGUCGCCUGAAGGCCAUGUGCAGUGGCAGGCUGCAGACAGCUUUGCUGGGGGCUGGCUACUUCGUCUACCUGCUGGUGGGUGCUGCUGUGUUCCAGGCCCUGGAGAGGACUGCUGAGAAGCAGGAGAAAAUGGCAGCUGCCCAGAUGAAGGAGGCUUUUCUGCAGAACUUCACGCAGCUCACGGUGGCAGAGAUGGAGCAGUUCAUGAAGAACCUGAUUGAAGCCAUUCAAAAUGGGGUAUACCCUGUUGGAAAUGAGUCACAGUUUGAAGAGAGCAACUGGGAUUUCAGCAACUCCUUCUUCUUUGCAGGCACAGUUGUCUCCACAAUAGGUUAUGGCACAUUACAUCCUAAAACUGCUGGGGGACAGAUCUUUUGUGUGUUUUUUGCUCUUUUUGGAAUCCCUCUGAACAUUGUUUUUCUGCACCGUGUCGGUAAGAUGCUCUCACUGCUCUGCAAAAAGCUGGGGAAAUUCCUGUAUGAGAAAGGAAUGAGAAAGAAGAAGAUCAAAUUUCUGACCCUUUUGUUCUUCCUGGCAACGGGGAUCCUGGUUUUUCUGUGCUUGCCAUCAGUCUUCUUCCAGAUAACAGAGGGCUGGUCCUACAGUGAAGGAAUUUACUUUGCAUUUAUCACCCUCAGCACCAUUGGCUUUGGAGAUUAUGUUGUAGGCAAACAGUCUGACAGGAAAUACUUUUCCUACUAUCGAGUGCUUGUGGCCAUUUGGAUUCUUUUUGGCCUUGCCUGGAUUGCUCUGCUGUUUAAUUUAUUGACAACAGUACUAGAAGAUACUGAAAAAAUAAUUGUCAAGGAUCUCCAGCAAAUUGGAAAGCCUUCAAGUUGGUGAUGGGAUGACGGAUGGGUGCAGCAGAGCUCACUACAGUCCCAGAAAUGCAUGGGCAGCUCCUGGAGAACAUGGCCAAGCAACAAGGCCUGCAAAUUGCUUAGAGGCUGAAUGUAAUGACAACAGAGGCAGCACAGUUGGGUGAUGCCAAAUAGCCAAAAAUUGCCAGGGGGAAGCAAAAAAGAGGAACUUCCAGCAGUAGUUGUAAAAUCUAUUCCUUGCUUGCAGCAGGUCUCUGAGCAAAAGCCUGAACACAAGCUGCCCACACUUUUUGCUCAAACAUGGGUCAUUUUUUGGGCUGGGGUUUGGUAACAACCCUUCUCAGUCAUCAUCUCACAGGUCUCUGGAGGGGCUCAGCCUGCCUUGGCAAACCAACCAGUGAAGAUGGAAAACAUCCUCUAGGGGUGUCAAGGGAGAAGCACAAUUUUUGGUGCAUGAAAUUUGCCUACUGGCAUUUGUAGCAGUGCACAGUGCUCAACCAUACUGGAGUAGGAAGGGCUUUGGUGUGGCAGCCAGGGUGCCUUCCAGCUACUCUGCUGGGAAGUUAAAACAUGACAGGAACUUUCCAUAGAGACCCUUGUUUGGCACAUGGUUUUGUCAGUGAGUAUGGUUCAAGGACAAAAUCUGAGAAUGGCAAAUUCAUGCUCAAACCCCCAAAGCCCACACUUACUUCACACAUGCCAAAAAGCAGAGCAGUGAGUUGCAGAAAUGAGAAAUGUGUUCACUCCCCCACCAAGACCAUCUGUCUUACGUGGUGACAGCAGAGUGAGGAGAGGUGGUGUAAAGAAGGACAGGCAGAGCACUCUCCCCCUCUGGGAUUUUGGAUAGUGGCUGAUUUUUGGGAUCAGCCUACACGAUAGGUAAACUCCCUUUUGCACAGGUGUCCAUCAGCUGAGACAGAAAGUGUGUUGUGGUUGUAGAUGGACUUUUUUCGUGUACAUGGAGGGACAGGACAAGGGGAAAUGGGCUUCAAACUGACAGAGGGCAGGGUUAGGUUAGAUAUUAGAAAGAAAUUCUUCCCUGAUAUGGUGUUGAGGUCCUGGCCCAGUUGCCCAGAGGAGCUGUGAGUGCCCCAUCCCAGCCCUUUUCCAGGCCAAGCUGGAUGGAUGGGGCUUGGAGCAACCUGGCCUAGUGGGUGUCCCUGUCCAUGGCAGGGGUUUGGAACAAGAAGGUCUUUUAGAUCCUUCCCAAUCCAAAUCAUUCCAUGUUUCUAGGAUUCUGUAAAGUCCCUGUGCACACACACGACAGAGCCUCCAGAUGUCACCAUCAACCCAAGCAAGAAAGAGGCACAGCACAAACCGAGCAGAAAAACCCCACUCACAGACUUCUCCUUCAGUCCCUGCUCCCCUGCCUGGGACAGACAGACAGGAGGGCUUCCAGUCCACCUGGAUAAAGUGCUUGAAUCACAGACAAAAUCAACGAAUGUGGUUUAUAGCUGUGCAUGAAAGCAUUUUGUGUGCACAUUAUGUUGAUGUAGAUCACAGGGGUGCUUCCCUAUGUGUAGGUGCUCAUUACUUUUACAUAUAUAUAUAAAAUCACCCAUGUGUGUGUAUAUUUAUAUGUAUAUAAAGUUACAUAUAUAAAACUUCAUAACCUUUGGGUUGAAGAAUCACAGGUUCUUUGCCAACAACCUUACCUGAAGGGAAAAAGCAAGGCGUGUUUUCCAGUGCCUUUUCUAACCAUAUACAUAUUCAUCUCUUCCAGUACACAUUCCUGUGUCCCAUCCAGCUGAUGAGCUGAGAAAUGGAGCAAUCAGCCCUGGAUAAAGGAUCUGAGAGCAUAGGCACAGGUGUUCCCAGAGAAAAAAGACAAUAUGCCCUCAAGUCUGUGUAGUAAGGGUUUGGAUCCAAGCCACUGAAGACCAGCAUGUGAGCUCUAAUCCCGUAAAAACAGUCAAUGCUUGGAUGGGAAACAUGUCACUGAGUUGGAGCCAGGUGGGUGCAGACUUCCGUGGGAGGAUGAGUCAAGAGAGCUCUGGCAUCAUCUGCAAAAGGACCUGAUGCUGUGGGAGAGAGCUUAGCAAGUGUAAAAACCCAUGAGGAAGCAGUGAUGGUCCAAAGAAAACCCCACCAUUUCCCUGGUUGUCCUUGGAGCAUUCUGGAGAUCAUUGCAAGACCAAGCACUUGAAAUGUUUCUCUUCUACCUUUGAGCCAUGAGACAGGGAUGGUCUGUUCCUCACACAGCUUGUCUGAAGAAACUCCAGCCUUGAGCACAGAACUGACAGCU